AGUUUUGUACCCGUAUAAACGAUGUUAUUGUCUAUUUUCUGUCGGGAAGAAAAAACAUCGUUUAUACGGGUACAAAACUG
rnacentral:pre_miRNA from 1 species